UAGGACAUAAAGUUCCUAACUUGUCACUUUCUAGAAUAAAGUUAACAAAAAAAGUAGCAGGACUAAGAUAAGUUGUUAUGCUUCCAAAGGUAGUUGAGUUGCUUCCAUUCUUCGCCAUUGAAUCAGCCGCCUGGUUUGCCUCUCUGAAGACGUGUUGUAACAGCGGAUCACCUGCUCUACUCAAUAGGCAUCUGCAAUCAUCAAUCAAAUUAAAGGAACGGUUCUUAUUAUGGAUUAAGUUAAUGAGCUCUUUAUAAUCCAUUUCAAGAUAAGGGGUAGGUAGUUGUCUUCUAUACCUAUUUUCAAACCAUGCAUUAGUGCUAGUGUUUCGAUAUGUAUAUUAGUAGCAUGUGAAAUACCCAUGUUAUAUCCCAACACCCAUUCCCCGUUGUGAUUACGAAUGAUUCCCCCUAUUCCGCCUUUACCUAGAUUGCCCAUACAUGAACCAUCCACAUUUAAUUUAUAGCAGUUUUCUUCAGGUGGAUUCCAUUUAAUGAGGAUGGUUUCCCUAAGUGUAGCAAUCCGGAAUUGAUUUGUUGCUAGAAUUUUAUAUUCGAUCGCUUUAUUAAUGAUGUUUUUUAGUAGAAGAGGUUUGUUAUUAUUUUUGAAUAUCAACUCAUUCAUGUGCAGCCAGAUGUGCUAGAGGAUGAAGGGAAGGACUUCAGACCAGACGAUAUAUUCAUUGAAUAUAGUAGAGGAUUCACAUUGGGUUUUCAGCUAGUGGUGUAAUGUGUAUUUAUCGGGCGGUUCCGGAGGUAGUUUGCUAAAACCCUCUUGAGCCCAAAUAAUUUUGGAGUGCUUGCAUUUAAAGAACAUGUGGAAUAUACCUUCCCUCUCAGUGCUGCAAAAAUGGCAAGUUGGAGAAUUGAUUAUAUUUCUGCUGAAGAGCAUUUAUGCCAUUGGGAGGUAAUUAUGGAUAGCCGUCCAAAGAAAGAACUUUAUCUUGUUGAGAGUUUUGAUUUUCCAGAGCCAUUUAUAGUCAUUGGUGUCCCCCUCAUCCUUAACUUGUAGCAUAGUGGAGGCAGAUUUAAUGGUAAAGGAUCCGUUAGAGUUUAUUCUCCAACUGUAGUUAUCUUGAAUAGGAUGAGCUUGCUUUAUAUAGGUGCUAUAUAUUUUAUUUUUAACUUCAGUGGGGAGUUGGAAUGAUAAAUUAUUCAGAUUGAAGGAAUUAU
rnacentral:lncRNA from 1 species